ensembl:lncRNA
AACAUUCUGUCUUGGGAAUAAAGCAGAGUUCAAGUUAUGGGAAGAAGAAUUCUGUGAAGAAGUGUAAUAGUAAGAGAAGCCACUUUCUCUUCUACUCCUUGACUAUGGACUUGUGUACUGUGGCUUUGGGAGAAAUAGUGCCAUACAUUGGUCAAUGGCUCAAAGCAUAUAUUGUUCUUUGCAGACAGGCCCAACCUUACAAAAUGUUUCUCAGCUCAGGUUGUAACUGAGUCUGUAGUAGGCCAUUCCAUUGUUAUAUUGGGCCAGAUAUUUCUAGAUGGUGGGGUGUGCAGUAAGACUAUUUCUUUCUAUGAUUUGCAAACUCUAAUUACACUUCUAAGAUGUGUUCCUUAGAAGCUGUGUUGAGUAGGAUACCAUGAUAUUGAGUAAGGAAUUAUGUGGUAGUGUUGGCAGAAACACAAUGGGCAGGAAAGGCAAAUCCAUACACAGAAUAGAUGUCUAUUCUAGCACAAACAAAUGGCUUUCAUUUCCAUGAUGGAAGGGGUGCUUUAUAAUCAAUGUACCAACACGCAGUUGGCUGAUCGCCUUGGGAAAUGGUGCCAUAUUGGAGACUCACAGUUUAGAUUCUGUUCUUGAUAAUUUGGGCACUCAGUGCCAACAGAUUAGCUUGGUGAGGGGAAGUCCACUUUGUUGGGUCUGUGCUUCAUUUCUGCCACUGUGACCAUUUUGUACAUAAGCCCAUUAAAACAGAAGAUGAGGAAAGAUGCUGACUGAUAGUCCCAGAACAAGUCACUUUGUUCACCCCUAUUGUUGAAGCCUCCUCUACAGUGGAUGUACCUUGGUAAGCACUCACACAAUUUCCUUCACAUUUAGCACUCAUUCUGAAAGAUCUGUGCAUGUGUCUCUUCUUCAGCCUUCCUAGUUAUCAAUCUUCCAGGCUUGUUCUUUUCAAUUUCCUGACCAGGUGACCAAAGCAUUAUUCACUGUCCACAGAUGAGUGUACCACAGGCCAUCCCUCCUUCCUGGCUGAGGGGACUUCAAGGUGUACUGCCAAAACUUCUGCCCUCUGGGAGGGUUUUCCUUCACCAUUCCUCUUCAGCGGCAUCUCUGAGUAAAGUCAACAGGAUCUGCCUUGUACCACCAGGGCUGUAGCUGAGCCACUGACUGGCCUAGGGUCUUCACCCCAAAAUUGUCUUGGAAGACCUGGUCUACAUCCAUGCAGAAGAGGAAGUCAACCUCGUGUUGGAUGUGGGCCAAGAUGUGCUCCCUGAUGAUCUUCACAGGCAUCAUGCUGAUGUGUUGCCACCUCUUCUCUGGCUUGACCUGAAACACUUUUAAGGAAUGCAGAGGACCCAGCUCUAUAAACAGCACCUUGGAGACAUCAUCCACUAUAAUGUAAAAUAUGACUUUGUGGCCGACCAUUAGCAGGUGUUAUGAACUCUUAUGAACUCUUCCAAGUAAUGCUCAAUAUAUCUGAAACAAAGAAGAAAAGCAAAAUAUUUAACCUUUGGGAUUCCUGAAAGAAAUCACAUGUUGUUAUAAUCAUGUCUGUAUUUUAUAGUUAGUAGAAGAAUGAUUUCUUCCCACCCCGGGUAUGUUUUCAUGUUAGUGUAAUGCCCCUGGCUACUCUCCACCAUUCAGUCACUCAGUGCGUGGGAAGCUGGAAUGACUUACCUGACUGCCAAUUUUGGAAGAGCAGCUAGAACUAGACAUGCACUACCCUAUCCUUCCUCUCUUCUGGCUUUUGGGAACCAGCCAGUCCAAGAGAGCAUGUGUUCUCAACUGCUCUGGGUUUUGCAGGAAGCUUAGUACAGGAUCUAUUUUCACAUCCAGAGGCCUGUAGGUGCCUGGAUGCCCAAGUCUUUCUAACUCUGGGGGUUGAAUAUUUAGGAGGCACAGGGCCUGCAGAUAUAAGCCACAUUCUCCAAUAUGAGCUUUAACUAUAAUGAGGGUGAUAUUUACCGCUCUCUGCCUUCCUUACCCCUUUGUCCAAUUUACCAAUUGGUUCAGACUUUGGACAGUCAAAGGGGGUACUUGUUCUUGAGCUCAGUUCAAAAGCCUUAACAUAAACCCCAAUGUUGCUACUGCCAGACCAGGUACAAGGGUGAUGUGACCCUUGGAUCCAAUGGGGAUGCAUUAAGCCCAAACAGCGGAACUCCCUUGUCCUGUGUGAUACAGAGAAUGAGUUAUGAGAUCUAGAUCUGCUUUCAUGUUACAUAGUCAUCCUAUGAGCCUCCCACUAGUCACCUAAAACACCAAUCCAUUGUCCACACACCAUCAUCCAAAAUACUAGUCCAUCCAAAUACUAGAAUGAGCAACUUCUGAUUUAACCUUAUUUUAACUACUUUUUCUUUAUCUUAAAAAAAGGACUAUGUUAGCAAUAAGCCACGUUUGGUGGCUGAUUAAACAUAGAUGAAAAGAGAAGAUAAAAAACUUUAAAAAGUAAAAAAAAGAAAAAAAAGGACUACGUUGUUUAGAGAAGUUUUAGGUUCACAAAAAAAUUGGGCCAAAAGUACGGAAUUCCCAUAUACCUCCUGCUCCCACAUUUGCACAGCCCCCAUUCCCCCACUAUCAACAUCCUUGCACCAGAGUGGUGCAUUUGUUACGAUCAAUGAAGCUACACAGACAUAUCACUAUCACCCAACAUCCAUAGUUUACAUUAGGGUUCACUCUUGGUGUGGUACAUUCUAAGGGUUUAACAAAAGUAUAAUGACAUGUAUCCACCAUUAUAGUAUCAUACAAAAUAUCAUCACUGCCCUAAAAAUUAUCUGAGCUUUGCUUAUUAAUCCUUCCCUCCCCGAACAACCCCAAACAAUCACUGACCUUUUUACUGUCUCCAUAGUUUUACCUUUUCCAGAACGUCAUAUAAGCAUAUAGCAUGUAGCCUUUUCAGCGUGGCUUCUUUUACUUAGUAAGAUGCAUUUAAGGUUCUUUUAUAUCUUUCAUGACUUGAUAGCUCAUUUCUUUUUAGCACAGAAUAAUAUUCCAUUAUCUGGAUGUGGCUUAGUUCAUUUUUCUAUUCACCUACCAAAGGGCAUCUUGGUUGCUUUCAAGUUUUGGUAAUUAUGAAAUAAAGCCUCCGUAAAUAUCCAUGUGCAGGUUUUUGUGUAGACAUAAGUUUUUAACUCACUUGGGUGAAUAGCAAGGAGCACGAUUGCUGGAUCGUAUGGUAAGAGUAUAUUUAGUUUUGUAAGAAACUGCCAAAUUGCCUUCCAAAGUGGCUGUACCAUUUUGCAUUCCUACCAGCAAUGAAUAAGUGUUCCUGUUGCUCUACAUCCUUGUCAGCAUUUGGUGUUGUCAGUGUUUUGAAUUUUGGCCAUUUUAGUAGGUAUUUAGUGGUAUUUUAACUAUCUAUUCCUUUGAAAAACAUUGCAUGCUGUCCCCCAUUGCUGGGCAAGGUGGCUCACGCCUGUAAUCCCAGCACUUUGGGAGGCCAAGGCAGGUGGAUCACAAGGUCAGGAGUUUGAGACCAGCCUGGCCAAUAUGGUGAAACCUGGUCUCUACUAAAAAUACCAAAAUUAUCUGGGCGUGGUGGCACAUGCCUGUAGUCCCAGCUGCUUGGGAGGCUAAGGCAGGAGAAUUGCUGGAACCAGGGAGGCAGAGGUUGUGGGGUGAGCUGAGAUGGUGCCACUGCACUCCAGCCUGGGCAACAGAGCAAGACUCCAUCUAAAAAAAAAAAAAAAAAAAAAAAGGCCAGGCACGGUGGCUCAAGCCUGUAAUCCCAGCACUUUGGGAGGCCAGACAGGCGGAUCAUGAGGUCAGGAGAUCAAGACCAUCCUGGCUAACACGGUGAAACCCCGUCUCUACCAAAAAAAAUACAAAAAACUAGCCAGGCGAGGUGGCGGACUCCUGUAGUCCCAGCUACUCAGGAGGCUGAGGCAGGAGAAUGGCGUGAACCCGGGAGGCGGAGCUUGCAGUGAGCUGAGAUCUGGCCACUGCACUCCAACCUGGGCGACAGAGCGAGACUCCGUCUCAAAAAAAAAGAAAAAGAAAAUAAAAUGAAAACAUUUUAUUGGAGUCUUCUGUAAGCCCAAGCUAUGGACUAUUUGUGAAGCUACGCUAUGGAGAUUACCAGGAAGAGGAAGAAUAAGCCAGAUGGUUUCAUACAACUUGACCAAACCCUAAACUCAUGUGGACUGAAUUUAAUGUGCUGAUCACACUUCUGGCCAAUCAUGGUGUUUUGUGAGUAAUAAUGACUGGCACUUCUUUUCGCUUUUUGUUGCUGCUUGGAUUCCCUUUCUUUGUUACCAAAAUAAAAUGCGCUUUUAAUGUUGGCAUGUGGUAAUCCAAGGGUUUAUAGUACUGAUUCUUUAAAUGGAAAAUACAUCUGAGGAAUAUAAAAAAGGACUUCAGUGUGGCUCUGUGGGUAGUGGCCAGGAAAUCCUUCAGUAUUCUGGGACUUCAAGAAAAAUGUAUUGUGCUCUGAAGCUUGGGAAACAAUACUGGGGUAGGGUGGGGUAGAGUUAAGUACAGGGGAGAGUCAUUGUGAGGUUUUACAUUGUUAAGAGAUUAAAGCAUUGCAGUUGGCUCCAUGCAUUGUUGCUUGAAAACAAACCAAACAUUACACCUCCUAAAAGUCAAAAUCCACUUGUAGAGAUCUAUUGCUGCUGAGUACAAGCAGUCCUCUCUUGUCUCAGAGCUGAGGGCAGAGUGCUUUCACCAGGAUGUGUGAUUUACAGUUUAG